CGGAUGGAUUCUUAAGUCAUCUUAGCGGCGAACGGGUGAGUAACGCGUGAGAAACCUGCCUUUCACAAAGGGAUAGCCUCGGGAAACUGGGAUUAAUACCUUAUGACACUUUAACCUCGCAUGAGGAAUAAGUUAAAGCGUAAAGCGGUGAAAGAUGGUCUCGCGUCCUAUUAGCUAGUUGGUGAGGUAACGGCUCACCAAGGCCAUGAUAGGUAGCCGGCCUGAGAGGGUGAACGGCCACACUGGAACUGAGACACGGUCCAGACUCCUACGGGAGGCAGCAGUGGGGAAUAUUGCACAAUGGAGGAAACUCUGAUGCAGCGACGCCGCGUGAAUGAUGAAGGCCUUCGGGUCGUAAAAUUCUGUCCUUGGGGAAGAUAAUGACGGUACCCAAGGAGGAAGCCCCGGCUAACUACGUGCCAGCAGCCGCGGUAAUACGUAGGGGGCAAGCGUUGUCCGGAAUUAUUGGGCGUAAAGGGUUCGCAGGCGGUCUGAUAAGU
rnacentral:rRNA from 1 species